ACUAAACUUCCGGGCGCGGAGGUUUGCGCGCCUUGGUGAGCCGUUGGCGUGGUGGUCCCGGAGUGAUCCUGGCAGCCGGUGGGGAAGACAAGGAGGGCUGAGGGUAAAAAGCUGGGAUUGGUAGGCUGGGUCCAGAACACUGACCGGGGCACAGUGCAAGGACAAUUGCAAGGUCCCAUCUCCAAGGUGCGUCAUAUGCAGGAAUGGCUUGAAACAAGAGGAAGUCCUAAAUCACACAUCGACAAAGCAAACUUCAACAAUGAAAAAGUCAUCUUGAAGUUGGAUUACUCAGACUUCCAAAUUGUAAAAUAAUGGCCUGAAUUUAAGUUUUCUAAGAUAAACUCAGUGGUUUGGUUUUUAUUAUUAAUAGAGAUAGAACUAUUGUGUGUUAAUAUUAGCAUUAGUCAAUAAGUUAUUUUAAUGUCAGAUUUUUGAAUGUUAUUAUAUAUUACCUGUAUGAUGGAAGGAUUACCACUGUACACAAAUCUAAUCAAUAAAAACGUUAGAACCUUCUGCUUAGAGUACUUUUAA
rnacentral:lncRNA from 1 species